rnacentral:rRNA from 1 species
UAAAGAAUAUUGCGCAAUGGGCGAAAGCCUGACGCAGCCAUGCCGCGUGUGUGAAGAAGGCCUUAGGGUUGUAAAGCACUUUCAGUGGCGAAGAAAAGUGAGGGGUUAAUACCCCCGCUCUUUGACGUUAACCACAGAAGAAGGUCCGGCUAACUCCGUGCCAGCAGCCGCGGUAAUACGGAGGGACCGAACGUUAAUCGGAAUUACUGGGCGUAAAGCGCACGUAGGCGGUUCGUUAAGUGGGAUGUGAAAGCCCUAGGCUCAACCUAGGAAUUGCAUCUCAAACUGACGGGCUAGAGUGUAGUAGAGGGAGGUGGAAUUUCCUGUGUAGCGGUGAAAUGCGUAGAUAUAGGAAGGAACACCAGUGGCGAAGGCGGCCUCCUGGACUAACACUGACGCUGAGGUGCGAAAGCGUGGGGAGCAAACAGG